AUUGAACGCUGGCGGCAGGCCUAACACAUGCAAGUCGAACGAGCGGCGGACGGGUGAGUAAUGUAUGGGGAACUGCCCGAUCGAGGGGGAUAACUACUGGAAACGGUGGCUAAUACCGCAUACUAUCAGAUGAACCCAUCUGGGAUUAGCUGGUAGGUGGGGUAAAGGCUCCCCUAGGCGACGAUCGCUAGCUGGUCUGAGAGGAUGAUCAGCCACACUGGAACUGAGACACGGCCACGACUCCUACGGAGGGCAGCAGGGGGGAAUAUUGCACAAGGGGCGAAAGCCUGAUGCAGCCAUGCCGCGUGUAUGAAGCAGGCCUUAGGGUGGUAAAGUACUUUCAGCGGGGAGGCGUUACCCGCAGAAGAAGCACCGGCUAACUCCGUGCCAGCCGCCGCGGUAAUAC
rnacentral:rRNA from 1 species